ACUCUCUCCUCUCCCUCAAAAACUUUCGGCCAAACACCCCUUGAUCAUCCAUCAUAUUUUUCGAUUUUGUUCUUCACAUUCCAACAUCAUACAAGUGUCAAGUGUCACGCAUAAGAAGGCUUGGUACACUCGGAGAUCGAAGGACCUCAUCCUCUAGCUUUUAUCCACUUCAUUUGCGCUUAGAUUCCUCCCUAGCCUCGAGCUAGUGGUUACGACGUUAAUUAAGCAAAUCCGGUGAAGUUUACGACGCACAGGAACGCAAAGUUGUGAGUUCAUGCUCCCCCUUUUCUUUAACUGUUUUUGUUUUACACUUCGGGGGUGAAAUACAUGUCACAAAUUGAAUAUUGUUUGCAUAUGUCAUGAUGGGUACAAAAACAUUCAAGUGAAACAUUCCAGACCA